rfam:Camelus ferus isolate Naran unplaced genomic scaffold scaffold1973, whole genome shotgun sequence.
GAGGAUAUAUCUCAGUGGUAGAGGGUGUGCUUAGCAUGCAUGAGGUCCUGAGUUCAGUCCCCAGUGUCCCUU